rnacentral:rRNA from 1 species
AACGAACGCUGGCGGCAGGCUUAACACAUGCAAGUCGAACGCCCCGCAAGGGGAGUGGCAGACGGGUGAGUAACGCGUGGGAAUCUACCUAGUUCUACGGAACAACUGAGGGAAACUUCAGCUAAUACCGUACACGCCCUACGGGGGAAAGAUUUAUCGGAAUUAGAUGAGCCCGCGUAAGAUUAGCUAGUUGGUGAGGUAAUGGCUCACCAAGGCGACGAUCUUUAGCUGGUCUGAGAGGAUGAUCGGCCACACUGGGACUGAGACACGGCCCAGACUCCUACGGGAGGCAGCAGUGGGGAAUAUUGGACAAUGGGCGCAAGCCUGAUCCAGCCAUGCCGCGUGAGUGAUGAAGGCCUUAGGGUUGUAAAGCUCUUUCAGUGGGGAAGAUAAUGACGGUACCCACAGAAGAAGCCCCGGCUAACUUCGUGCCAGCAGCCGCCGUAAAAC